CCAGACUCCUACGGGAGGCAGCAGUGGGGAAUAUUGCACAAUGGGGGAAACCCUGAUGCAGCGACGCCGCGUGGAGGAAGAAGGUCUUCGGAUUGUAAACUCCUGUUGUUGAGGAAGAUAAUGACGGUACUCAACAAGGAAGUGACGGCUAACUACGUGCCAGCAGCCGCGGUAAAACGUAGGUCACAAGCGUUGUCCGGAAUUACUGGGUGUAAAGGGAGCGCAGGCGGGAAGACAAGUUGGAAGUGAAAUCCAUGGGCUCAACCCAUGAACUGCUUUCAAAACUGUUUUUCUUGAGUAGUGCAGAGGUAGGCGGAAUUCCCGGUGUAGCGGUGGAAUGCGUAGAUAUCGGGAGGAACACCAGUGGCGAAGGCG
rnacentral:rRNA from 1 species